rnacentral:rRNA from 1 species
CCCUUAGAGUUUGAUCCUGGCUCAGGAUGAACGCUAGCUACAGGCUUAACACAUGCAAGUCGAGGGGCAGCAUGGUCUAGCAAUAGACUGAUGGCGACCGGCGCACGGGUGAGUAACACGUAUCCAACCUACCGGUUAUUCUGGGAUAGCCUUUCGAAAGAAAGAUUAAUACCGGAUAGUAUAACGAGAAGGCAUCUUCUUGUUAUUAAAGAAUUUCGAUAACCGAUGGGGAUGCGUUCCAUUAGUUUGUUGGCGGGGUAACGGCCCACCAAGACAUCGAUGGAUAGGGGUUCUGAGAGGAAGGUCCCCCACAUUGGAACUGAGACACGGUCCAAACUCCUACGGGAGGCAGCAGUGAGGAAUAUUGGUCAAUGGACGAGAGUCUGAACCAGCCAAGUAGCGUGAAGGAUGACUGCCCUAUGGGUUGUAAACUUCUUUUAUAUGGGAAUAAAGUGCAGUAUGUA